UGGUUCUGAACUCCUAACGGCAAGUGAUCUGCCUGCCUCAGCCUCCCACAGUGGUGGGAUGACAGGCGUGAGCCCCUGCGCCCCGCCCCCAAACCCUCUUUGGAAAAAGCAGAUGUUGCCUGUGGCUUUGUGGUCCUUUUUCCUGGGUGCACCCUCAACCUUGGCAAGAUAAACCUCUAAACUGAUAGGGACCCAUCUCAGACACCAUCUGGCUUACAGAGUCCCAAAUUCCCAGGAAUCCCAGCCCCACUGGCUGAAUACCGGGGUGCAGUCACAGAGAAGAUGGCCUCGGCCUGGGGGUGGCAGCUGUGCAGGGCAGCCCCGUCCCCCACCACCAAUGGCAGGGGAACUCACACCGCCACUCCCACCGAACCCCCACCCCACAGCAGAAGGAUUCUGGCUUCAUGGAAGUGGCUCCCAUCUAAAAGAUGACCCAGGCCAGGCACAGUGGCUUGUGCCUGUAAUCCCAGCACUUUGGGAGGCUGAGUCAGGCAGAUCACCUGAGGUCAGGAGUUCGAGACCAGCCUGGGCAACAUGGUGAA